AGAGUUUUCUGGGAGAACUAGAGUUCAAGAAACAACCCAUGAUUGGCAGCAUGGCAUUAUCUGUACCCACAGCUUGACAUUUGUCUUCUUGUCACAGUCAGAAGCUCAGAGUGUCAUAGAGAGAAGCUGGAGUAGAAAAAGCUGUUGAUAAAUCGUCUUCCUCUGAAAUCCUAAGCAGACAGAAUGCUCCUGAGUGAAAACCAUAAAGAAAGCCCUUUUUCCACUGCUAGGCUGACAAUCAAGCAUGCUGAGAGUCAAGCCUUUUGUGGGUGAUUCAUGGCUCCGGGGUCACACAGGUUGGAGCUUCUCAUCUGAAGGGGAUUAGGUGUUUCCAAGGAAGCACAGUUCUUCAGUGCCUUCUGAAGCAUAUCCUUGAAGUUUUUGGAGCCUGAGACCUGCUUAAGACCUCCCUCAUUACUCUGUCUCAUCACAUGAGAAGUCCAUCACAGCUUUGGCAGAAGGUUCUGAUUGGAGCCAGAAAGAAGCCAUGGUUACAAGAGGAUCCCAGAUGUGUUCAAGAGCUCCAUCCAGCUGACAGGAAAGAAGAUGUGAAGGGAAAGAGUUGAAAAAAAGAAGAUAUAACAAAACAAAACAAAACUGAAUGGAAAAUAAGGAAACAAAAAGUGUGUAUAAGCAGUGAAAAAGCCCACAAAACUUUCCAACCCUGCAGAACAGGCAAGAUCUCAAAAAUAACCUCUCUUUCUCAAAGUUGUUUUUUUGAUGAUGUUCCU
rnacentral:lncRNA from 1 species